rnacentral:lncRNA from 1 species
GAAAACAGCAGCGCGCCCCAGCGCUGCCCUCCCAGCUGUGUGUGAGCGAGACCGGGGCUAACAGCCCCCUACCUGCGUUCCCCAUGACCGGUGCUCACAACAGAGGUGCCCCAACUAGUACUGGUGCCCCCGUUUUCUCAGCAAGUCCCCUUGUCGGAGGCCACAGAGCUGGGGUGAACCUACUCUGGGAGAACCAACACCCCACACUAAGCCAGUGGCCCACACUGACCUGGCCAGGCCACUCCUCUGGAGAUCCUCCCUGUGAACCACCCACAGAGGGCCCUUUCCCAGAGAGACCACCAGUGGGCCUGGACCCACGCCCUUGGGGAUGAGCAAGCUCUCGUGUAUUUGCUGUGUGUGCAACACGGGGUUCCUCUCGGGGCACUGGGGAUCCCGAAAGCGUGUCUGGUGCAGAAGGCGUGACCUCCAGGCAGCUCCGAGACGGGAAGUGAUUGGAGUGUAGGCGUGAGGUCCCGGUGCUGGAUAGACGCACACGCCUUCACGCAUCCUCAGAAAGUGAUGUUGCUGAGUGAAUAGAAGGUGCACGUGGCCCUUCCUGAGUCUGCUCACCCUCCGGACACACACGCAUGCCUUCCCACGCUCCUGUGCACACACCCCUCCCGGCCCUUCCAUGGAGGACCUGUAGGAACCCGUGGCCUAGGGUGAGCUGGGUCUGAGGCUUUGGGACCCGUGCCUGGACCAGUAGCUUCCCAGAUGUGGCAUCUGAGCAAGAGGGGCAGAGCGAGGCUGGCAUGACAAAGAGUGAGCCACCCCAUGAAAUGGGCCCGGCAAGGUCACACGGCACCAGCUGGCCCAAGGCUGGUCAAGAAUCCGAGUUUUCUGCAGAGGGAGACACAGCCUGACACCUGGGACCUGUGCAGCUGGGUGGAGUAGAAAGGGAUGAAAGGAGGAGGGGCGGUCGGCCCAGGAAGCAGGGCGGGCAGACGGCGACCCAGGGGACCUGUCCGAGAGGUGACAUAGAGGACAGCAAUGCCGCCCGCAUGUCCCCACAUGGACCUGCUUCCAGGAAGGUGGAAAAGGCCCAUGGGAUGCAGAGCAGAGGAGACACAGCUGUGGCUUAGUCAAGAAGGAUGGUGUCCUGGUGCGGGGAGCUUUGGGGGGCGCCUUCUCACGGUGCCAACCCGCCAGCCCCGCCCUUUGCCAUCUCUGAAAGCGCUACCCAGAAAACCUCCUAGCCCAGCGCCAUUGAUCCCUUUUUAUGACUUGGAAAUAAAUUCGCAGCUACAAAACCCGAGGUCAUUUGGUUAAUUCCACUGCCGAGCUCCCCACGGCGCAUACCCCCGGAUGCUUCGGCCCAGCCAGGUUCCUUGCUAAGGGCAAGUUUUACGACCUUGGGAACAUUGGCAUUUGUUUAUGGCAGAGAAGUGAAGUUUUGCUUCCCCCAGAGGCCAGAGUGUUUCCACGGACGGUUUUAAAGGGGAAGCAGGCACAUUUGUGACUAAGUCACCAGGCAGGCGUGAUACAGGAGACAAUGCUCUUUGGAGCUGCCCACGUGGCGGCAGCAGCCAGAGGUCCCUUUGCCCAGUUCUCUGGCCUCUUCUUGCCCUGUGCACACCUGUCACCUGAGACACCCGUACUUGGCAUUCGCUCUUCAAACAGGCAUUCUGUGAAAGUAACGGUCCCUGCGUGCUGGGGACGCCGGCCUUGGCCACGUGCUGGCUGUGGUCUCCCGGGAGCUGAGGAAAGGAGUUCCGCCUCGCAGAAUGAGGCAGGAUUCUCCUCUUCCAUCCCCCUCUCUAGAGUCAGAAUUACCCCAAUAAUUGCGCUCAUCUGACUCCAAGGCCGUCUCCAGAGUUUCGAGUGUGAAAUAGAGUAGCUGUCUCUCACCAAGGCUGUCACAGUUCUCAGGAACCAGAGGAGAAGGCAGGAAGCCCCCGACCCCUGGAGCAAACCCCUGGGUCUUCAUAAAGCAGCUGCUGGCACAGCGGCUGAGAAACCCAGGCGUGGACCCUAGCCCGGCCGCCUGUCCGCGUGGCAUCCUGAAGAAAUCACUGCAUCUUCCUGUGCCUUGGUUUGCUCAUCUGCGAGAGUCCCGGCCUCCCUAGGCUGUUCCAGGGAUCAUGGGGGCCUCUGCAUGGGAAAGCCCAAGCCAGCACCUGCCCCGGCACCUCUGCAUCCACAUGGCAGCUCCGUCUACAGCCCGAGGGCCCCAUAACCAGCCAGAGUGGCCACGCUUGAAGCCUCACGGGGCUCCAGAUGGAGCCUCCCUGACAAGGGGACCUCUUCUUCCCGGGAUCUUGUUCCGACCUUUGCUUAAAGCAGUUUCCCCACUGGCUCGGUUCACGUGCGGGCAGCGAUUCUCUGGCCCUGCACUGUAGGGUGUUUAGUGUGCCCGAGGCCACCCCGAGUGAUGACGACGAUUGAAAAUGUCUCCAGAGGCCUGACUCGGUGACUCACGCCUGUAAUCCCAGCACUUUGGCAGGCCAAGGAGGGUGGAUCACGAGGUCAGGAGUUCGAGAUCAGCCUGACCAAUAUGGUGAGACGAUGUCUCUACUAAAAAUACAAAAAUUAGCUGGACGUGGUGGUGGGCACCUGUAAUCCCAGCUACUUGGGAGGCUGAGGCAGAAGAAUCGCUUGAACCCAGGAGGCAGAAGUUGCAGUGAGCUGAGGUCACGUGACUGCACUCCAACCUGGUGACAGAGCAAGACUCCGUCUC